rnacentral:lncRNA from 1 species
CUUUCUCUUUCUUACACUUUCACACUCUUUUCUAUUCUCCUCUCUCCUUUAAAUAUUCUUCUUUUCAUUGCAAGCGGUGGAAAUAGCAUCGUCUUCUUCUCUUUACCUUAGCAUAUAGGAAUAUCAUUCUUUAUUUUCUCUACCCUUCUUUUCUUAUAUACUUCGAUCCUCCUUCAACCUUUUACAUAAAUUGAUGUUGUUUAAAAUGGACAAGGGUGCAAGCUCCAAUGUCAAAUGAAAAAGUCAUUUUUAAUUAGACGGAAAAGGUUUACAUUUAUGUCGAAUGAGUGUUUUUUAAAAAACGGUAGAGAUGCAGAGAAGAUUGGGAGAUAGCACAAGGAAUGCAACUGAAGUUGGAAAAACACUAAGUAGAGACAGAAAAUUGGCUUUGCAACAAGAUGUGGAAAGGUUGAAGAAGAAGCUUAGGCACGAAGAGAAUAUUCACAGGGCAUUGAAAAGAGCUUUCAAUAGGCCUUUGGGUUCACUUCCUCGUCUUCCUUCUUAUCUCCCUCUCAAUACACUGGGACUUGUGGCUGAGGUGGCAGUAUUGGAGGAAGAAAUUGUAAGGCUUGAAGAACAAGUGAUGCAUUUCAGGCACAAUUUGUACCAGGAAACUAUCUACAUCUCAUCCUCGAAGAUGAAACUCGAUAACGCAAGCCCGUCUAAUAGUCGAAAACAUGGUAAAUUGAAGUCACUUUCACAAACAAUAGGUAAUGCUGCAACAUCUGCAACUAAGACUACAACAACACUUUCAGGUUAGUAACUGGAUAGUGUCAUUAAUUGAGGUUAAGGUGUUUCACAAUUGAGCUAGCAUUUCGCGAAAAUAACCGAAUUAUCGCAUACUUAUAGAGCAGAGUAAAUACAUGCUCUAACAUUAACUUUAUGUGAUCUAGGCUAGAUUCUAGAAUGUAAUACUUAAUGUGGUUUAUACCUUGUGAUUGUUCUACCAGUGGAUAGACAAGGAAAAGAGAAUGAAUCAUGUUCUAAUCCAUCUAAGAGAAGCAAGCAAUCAACUUGUACAGGGCAAGCAACAAAGAAUCCUACUAAGAAGUUAUCCAUUGAUAAUAAAUCAUUGCAGAAAAGUUGUGAUUUUCCGAAAAGGCAGCAAGAACUACGGCCAAGUAACCUGCCGAUUGCAGAAGUUAGAAAUCAUAGUCCACAUGAAAAACCAUUAGGAUAUGAAAGCCCGAAUAUAAUCUCGGAAAAUAUUCUGAAGUGUUUAUCAAGCAUUCUGUUGAGAAUGAGUGGAGCCAAAAGUCCUGGUUCUGCAGUUGAUAUAUCGGUAUCACCCUCGUGGGAUCAAAAACCUCGAAACUGUAUUGAAGGAAGAGAGUUUUGGGAUCCUUAUGGUAUCUGUUUGGAAUCUGGAAAGAGGGAUAUUGGUCAAUACACUCAAUUACGUGCGGUUGAAGCUAAAUCUUUCAAUCCAAAACGAACUGCAAAUUCUUUGUUUUUGCUGCAUCGAUUGAAAAUUCUUUUGAGAAAACUAGCUGGUGUCAACUUAGAGAAUCUCAACCAUCAAGAGAAGCUAGCAUUCUGGAUCAACAUAUACAACUCUUGUAUAAUGAAUGCAUUCAUAGAAAAUGGCAUACCAGAGAGUCCUGACAUGGUUGUUUCUCUGAUGCACAAGGCAACGAUAAAUGUGGGCGGACACUUGCUAAGUGCACCAACCAUAGAACAUUGCAUUUUAAGACUUCCUUAUAGCUGGAAAUUGGUAAGUUUUAUGCACUAUCUCUGAAUUGGAAUAUGUAGGCAAUUUAAAACCAAAUUGAUAAGCUUCUUGCAGCUAAAUUCAAAACAGACAUUAUCAAAGGAAGUCAAAAAUUAUGAAAUGACAUUAAGAAGCUUAUAUGGGCUAGAAUUAUCAAAAGCUCUAGUGAUAUUUGCUCUCUCUUGUGGAACAUGGUCCUCUCCU